rnacentral:rRNA from 1 species
GAUGAACGCUGGCGGCGUGCUUAACACAUGCAAGUCGAACGAAGCAAUUUAGCGGAAGUUUUCGGAUGGAAGCUAGAUUGACUGAGUGGCGGACGGGUGAGUAACGCGUGGGUAACCUGCCUCACACUGGGGGACAACAGUUAGAAAUGACUGCUAAUACCGCAUAAGCGCACGGGACCGCAUGGUCCAGUGUGAAAAACUCCGGUGGUGUGAGAUGGACCCGCGUUUGAUUAGCUAGUUGGUGGGGUAACGGCCUACCAAGGCGACGAUCAAUAGCCGACCUGAGAGGGUGACCGGCCACAUUGGGACUGAGACACGGCCCAAACUCCUACGGGAGGCAGCAGUGGGGAAUAUUGCACAAUGGGGGAAACCCUGAUGCAGCGACGCCGCGUGAGUGAAGAAGUAUUUCGGUAUGUAAAGCUCUAUCAGCAGGGAAGAAAAUGACGGUACCUGACUAAGAAGCCCCGGCUAACUACGUGCCAGCCGCCGCGGUAA